GACGAACGCUGGCGGCGUGCUUAACACAUGCAAGUCGAACGCUGAAGCUCAGCUUUUGUUGGGUGGAUGAGUGGCGAGCGGGUGAGUAACACGUGAGUAACCUGCCUCCUUCUUUGGGAUAACGCCCGGAAACGGGUGCUAAUACUGGAUAUUCACUGGUCUUCGCAUGGGGGUUGGUGGAAAGGGUUUUUCUGGUGGGGGAUGGGCUCGCGGCCUAUCAGCUUGUUGGUGGGGUGAUGGCCUACCAAGGCUUUGACGGGUAGCCGGCCUGAGAGGGUGACCGGUCACAUUGGGACUGAGAUACGGCCCAGGCUCCUACGGGAGGCAGCAGUGGGGAAUAUUGCACAAUGGGCGCAAGCCUGAUGCAGCGACGCCGCGUGAGGGAUGGAGGCCUUCGGGUUGUGAACCUCUUUCGCUCAUGGUCAAGCCGCAACAAUGGUUGUGGUGAGGGUAGUGGGUAAAGAAGCGCCGGCUAACUACGUG
rnacentral:rRNA from 1 species